UAUGGUCAUAUCAAGUUGAAACACAGGUUCGUGUCCGAUCACUGAAAUUAAGCAACGUCAUGCCAGGUCAGUACCUAAAUGGGUGACCGCUUGGGACUACCAGGUGCUGUAAG